AAACAGUUUACAAAUCCUUUGAUUCUGAAGGAAAAUGCAGUACCAGAGGUUGAAGCAGCAGCAACAAGCACUAGUGCAGCAAGCGCUUCUUCAACAACAGUCUCUCUACCAUCCCAGCCUCUUAGCCACUACUCAGGUCCAAUUUCUUGUUUGCGUGUUGUUUCUCGUCGCUUAUGUGAAUCCAUUAUGCCGUGAUUUCGAUUGUGUUUUCAUAAUUUCAAGCUUU
rnacentral:lncRNA from 1 species